rnacentral:rRNA from 1 species
GACGAACGCUGGCGGCGUGCCUAAUACAUGCAAGUAGAACGCACAGUUUAUACCGUAGCUUGCUACACCAUAGACUGUGAGUUGCGAACGGGUGAGUAACGCGUAGGUAACCUGCCUGGCAGCGGGGGAUAACUAUUGGAAACGAUAGCUAAUACCGCAUAAUAUUAAUUAUUGCAUGAUAAUUAAUUGAAAGGUGCAAUUGCACCACUACCAGAUGGACCUGCGUUGUAUUAGCUAGUAGGUGAGGUAACGGCUCACCUAGGCGACGAUACAUAGCCGACCUGAGAGGGUGAUCGGCCACACUGGGACUGAGACACGGCCCAGAAUCCUACGGGAGGCAGCAGUAGGGAAUCUUCGGCAAUAGACGAAAGGCUGACCGAGCAACGCCGCGUGAGUGAAGAAGGGUUUCGGAUCGUAAAGCUCUGUUGUAAGAGAAGAACGGGUGUGAGAGUGGAAAGUUCACACUGUGACGGUAUCUUACCAGAAAGGGACGGCUAACUACGUG